rnacentral:rRNA from 1 species
UACGAAGGGGGCUAGCGUUGCUCGGAAUGACUGGGCGUAAAGGGCGCGUAGGCGGUUCGUAAAGUCAGGGGUGAAAUUCCCGGGCUUAACCUGGGGGCUGCGUUUGAUACGUGAGGGCUUGAGUUCGGAAGAGGGGAGUGGAAUUCCCAGUGUAGAGGUGAAAUUCGUAGAUAUUGGGAAGAACACCGGUGGCGAAGGCGGCGACCUGGGCCGACACUGACGCUGAGGCGCGAAAGCGUGGGGAGCAAACAGG